rnacentral:rRNA from 1 species
AAUUAUUUAUAGCCUCUGGCUAUAGGAAAUUGUUAGUGGCAGACGGGUGAGUAAUGCGUAGGAAUCUACCUAGUAGUACGGAAUAGCCAUUAGAAAUGGUGGGUAAUACUGUAUAAUCCCCGAGGGGGAAAGAUUUAUCGCUAUUAGAUGAGCCUACGUUAGAUUAGCUAGUUGGUGAGGUAAUGGCUUACCAAGGCUAUGAUCUAUAGCUGGUCUGAGAGGACGAUCAGCCACACUGGAACUGAGAUACGGUCCAGACUCCUACGGGAGGCAGCAGUGGGGAAUAUUGGACAAUGGGCGAAAG